rnacentral:lncRNA from 1 species
CAACCAUGCGAUCUAAACACAAAUUUAAUGUUUUAAGUUUUUUUUUUUUGGUUUUUUUGUAGUUUGUAACAUUUUGAUGAUUUAAUGAAACACAAUAAUUGAAAGAGAAUUGGGAACAGUUGUUAACCCGUGACAACUAUUUUUUCGUUAUAAUUUCUCGAAUUGCAUGGGAAUUGAUUGGACCACUCCCAUUGUAAAGGUAAUUCCAGUUCACAAGCUGCUAUAUGACAACCACAUUAAUCCAAUUCCACAAUUGAC